rnacentral:rRNA from 1 species
UACAGAGGGUGCAAGCGUUGUUCGGAAUUAUUGGGCGUAAAGGGAGUGUAGGCGGCCGAUUAAGUCUUCUGUGAAAUCUACGGGCUCAGCCUGUAACGUGCAGAGGAAACUGGUAGGCCUGAGUGUCGGAGAGGAUAGUGGAAUUCCCGGUGUAGAGGUGAAAUUCGUAGAGAUCGGGAGGAACACCAGUUGCGAAGGCGACUAUCUGGCUGACAACUGACGCUGAGACUCGAAAGCAUGGGGAGCAAACAGG